rnacentral:rRNA from 1 species
UACGUAGGGGGCGAGCGUUGUCCGGAAUUACUGGGCGUAAAGGGCUCGUAGGCGGCCAACUAAGUCGGAUGUGAAAUCCCCAGGCUUAACCUGGGAACUGCAUCCGAUACUGGAUGGCUUGAAUCCGGGAGAGGGAUGCAGAAUUCCAGGUGUAGCGGUGAAAUGCGUAGAUAUCUGGAGGAAUACCGGUGGCGAAGGCGGCAUCCUGGACCGGCAUUGACGCUGAUGAGCGAAAGCUAGGGGAGCAAACGGG